UACGGAGGGUGCAAGCGUUGUUCGGAUUUAUUGGGCGUAAAGGGCGUGUAGGCGGUCCGUUAAGUCUGAUGUGAAAGCCCUGGGCUCAACCCAGGAAGUGCAUUGGAAACUGGCGGACUUGAGUACGGGAGAGGGCAGUGGAAUUCCUAGUGUAGGAGUGAAAUCCGUAGAUAUUAGGAGGAACACCGGUGGCGAAGGCGGCUGCCUGGACCGAUACUGACGCUGAGACGCGAAAGCGUGGGGAGCAAACAGG
rnacentral:rRNA from 2 species